rnacentral:lncRNA from 1 species
GUCAAAACGGAUCGCUGAUCGUUGCGCGAUCGGCGGGAGAGUUGAGAAACAACCUCAGUUGUGGACAUUCGUUGCGCGGUGAGGGUUGCGUUUGGGUUUGCGUUUCGAAAAAAUAUCUCAAGCCAAGAAAAAUCGGAGAAAAUACGAGAACGAGUCUGUGUCGGGCAUGUGUCCGUGCAACCCCCCAAGAUCUUCCCCCACUCCCAUUCAGCUGGUCAUCUGGCCAUCGACUUCACCCCUAAUCGAAUUGAACUUUGUCUCAGCGCUAAUCAAGAUGACCAGGAGAACGUGAUCUUGCAACAUCUGACCCAAGAAGCAGAAUCAAGACGGGCAUCAACCCCUCAAGAUGGGCAAACGGGUUCCGCGAGGGUCCUUGAGACACACUCUACGACCUGACCUGACCAUUGGUCAGUGGCAACGCACUUUCGACUCGUCUGGACAGAAGGCCAAAUGGCAGAACCCCAAUUAGGCUUUUCAUUAGCGGCGGAAAAGUCGGCGACGGAAAAUUCAAAUGAUUGAUCACUUUUCUCCUUGAAGGACAACUGGCAAAUGCUCUCCAAAUCAACGCUAAAAUUAAUCAUGUUUGUCCGUCAAAAUCAACCUCGAAAAACAGUAACAAACGAGGGGAAAACCAUUCACAGGAGGAAAACUGCUGAGAGGUGGAGAGAGUGAGGUAAAGUGGAGUGGAGUGGAGUGGAGUGGAGUGGAGUGGAGGGGAGGUCGAAACGUAUCGAGUUUCAGACGCAUAAGCCAUGAGGCAUGCCCACACCCGGACACACCGUCUCAAUGGAUUGCUGUCAAUGUUGUUAUUGCUUUUUUAUAAGCCAUAAAAAAGCAUUAAAAUUGCACAAUUUUCCACGCUGCCCAUUUGGCAGAUGGGGCAGGGCCACGGCCACGGCCAGGACAGCCUGUCCGUCCAGUUCUCAAUUCCCGGCGGGAGGUUGGUCCCAAAACUUUUCUGGGCCAUAACUCUCGCAAAUAAUUGACAGAUCGCAAUUAGAAAUCGAUGCAAAAAGCCCAAUGGCCAAUGGUAAAAAGUAUCGAAUUUCAUUCGCGCCUUCCACUUUCGCGACGAGUGCUCCAGAGGACUCUGGACAGCUCUCGGUGGGCAAAGAGUUAUAUGGCAGAUGGAUUUGGGAUGGUGGGGAAACCGCUGGGUCAUCUGACCUAGUAUAUUUCGGGGGGAGUGUCAAUAACCCUAAAACUUAAACUCCACACUGAGCUGAGUGGUACGAUGUUGAUUGAAUGUGAGAAACAGAACUUCAAAAUGUUAAAUAUAAUUUUAAACUAUUACUUGAAUAAAUAUUUUUGAUUAUAACCGAUAGGAAAUCAGAGCUAGAGCCAGUAGAGUUUUUCUACUCUUACGAUUUAAUCAUAAUCAUAACUUGGCUUUCCGUGAAAAGGUUCAUCAUUUCAGUACCUACUUAACCAAAGACACUAAAAUACAUGCCAGAAUUAGUAGAGUUAGCCAGAGUUAAUAAUAAACAAAAUACUACAAAAACUAAUAUCGAUUAACAGGUUCUGUGUGAUCUAUAUUCCUCAGAGUCAAUGCCUUAUUCUACAUAUUGAAAUUCCCCCGAAAAACUCUGAUGUGUAUCGCGUUUCAAUGAGUCUCCAAAUGAGCCCAAUAUCCCCAUUAACCGGUUUUGGUCGAGGGCAUUCAAUGGUCGGCCCGCCCAUCCCAGCAUAUCUCCCCCCAUAUGGCGAAAUGAACCCAAAUUGGGAAAUGGACGAUGGGGCAGGGACAGCUAUUCAAAUAAGUGAAUGAUGGGAAUGGAAGGCCGAGUCGGUGGUGGGGAUCUAGAGGAUUGGUCGCCGUCGGUCCGACAUGUGACAUCAAAAGGCAAAAAGAAGGAAAGAGAAAAAAGAAAAUGCUUGUUGCCGCAAAAAGCUUUAACAGUUGCCAUAAAAUAUCCCAUCUUCGACGGCCGCUACCCACACCCCCAGAACACACACACACACAAGCACAGUGACAGAACAACCCUCUCCUCCCCACGAAGGACAUGGACAUUUGGAUACUGCGAGUGUGUUUGUGGUAGUGUUUGUGUGCUUGUUUGCUUAACCCUCGUCCGAAGCAACCGUCCGAAGUGACCGGCCGAAUCGUAAAAAUGUAAGACGAAAACGAGCUCAAGAAUAAAAACACAUUAGAUACAAGCAAAUAUCCUUUCCGCAAAGUCGCAUGUCCUUUACACACACACAAAUAUGAACGUGUGUGUGUGUGUGUGUGUAUACAAAUUUAUCUCCAUUUGACCCUCUUCAAAGUGCUUUUUAUAGUCAUUUAGUGUUUUGGCCCUCCCGUCAAGUACUUUUAUUAUACACGUAUAAAUCCAAUUCGGCAUUCGGCGGAGCCGCAAGCCGGCUCCAAGGAUCCUUCUCCCAUGUGUGAGUGGAUCCCUUUGCACAUGUGUGCGCGAAGCUCCCAUCGAGGCCAGCUGGCUGGGAGUAAAAGGUAAACGUGUACGUACCAAAGCGAGAGUCCAACUAAUGAAACGGAACCAAGGCAAACCCUGGGACCCUCACUCGCUCGCUCUCUGCUCUCUAUCUUGUUGUGUCCCUUGACUCCUUGGACCGUGGCACCCAAAAGGACCACAAAACACAUGCAUACACAAUGUACCACCCACCCAGCGCCCCUCCAUCCAAACAAAAAAAAAAACAACAACAACAACGCCAACAAUUUGGUUGUCAAAACUACACCCGAAAAAGGCAAGCCGCACGAAUACUCGUACUGGUUCUCAUGCAACACUGGAAAAAAUAUAGCCAUGAUUACGAUGAGUUGAUGGAUAUGCAAAGAAGAAGGCAAUAUUGUAGUUUGAAUGCGCAGCAGGCACUGUCUUUAGUUUCUUUGAGAAUUGAGUCCCACAAUUCUGAAGUUUUCUUUUUAGAUUUCUUGCAUCUUUUGUUCUGGGCUGAGAGAAAUAACUGCUAAAUUUUAGAUUAUAGAUCUUUCAUUUAUGUUUGUGCAAAUGUGCAAAAAUCAGACAAAAGAUUUGCUUUAUUUUUCUCGGUGCAUGCAAAACAGAUGCCAAGGCCACCAACCCCACUGCCGGUGCUCCUCUAUGAGUGUGUGUGUGUGUGUGUGUGUGUGUGUGGGUGUGUGUGUGGCAGAGUCCUUUUUAAAAUUUUAAGACAUGUAAAUAUAAAAGGUCCUGCAUCGUCCUGUACUGUGCCAGGGCUAUCCCCCGUCCUGUCCUGUCCUGUCCUGUCCUCUGUCCCCAUCCUUUCGGUUCACAGUUUGGCAGUUCCACCCCCCAAAAAGGGAAGGUCCAGGGGCCCAUCGUCCGUUCUUUUGCAUCUGAAUAUGUAUCACCCUGACUCGAUCUAAAUACAUAUACACACAUAUAGAGUACGUGUGUGGGUGAGUUUAUGGCCUUGUAUGUUGCCAAUGUUAUGGGAUUGGGGCUGGACUUGGGCUCGGGCUUCGGUACUGGGCAUGGGGGUCCAGGGUACAGCACUGGGAACUGGGGGAUUGGGGGAUUGGGGGACUGGGCUCUGGUGGAUAUAUCUACGUUCAUUUAUUCGUUUGCUUGUCGGUUGGUUUGUUUGUGUGCGUAUCCUGUCCUGUCCUGCCCUGCCCUGUCCGGCCCCUCAUCUCAUACAAUUUUCCCGUUCCAAUAUCACCGCCAUGGGGAGGCUGGCAAAAAAAAGGGGGAAAAAUAUCUGCAAAUGUUGUUUUCCUUUGGGUUAUUAUUUUACUUUUUUUUUGUAAUUUUUUUUGUAUUUUUGUUUUUUGUAUUUUUAUUUUUUUUGUUUUAUGUUUUGCUGUUUAUUUGCGCCCCUCCCCUGCCGUCACAUUUUUCUUCAUGUCUCCUUAUAUUUCUGGAACUUUCCAUAUCUUUAUUUAUAUGUCUUCAGCUAUAAGCUGUGUCUCGCUCUAUCUCUACAUUUGUCAGUAGCAUUUUGCUUUCUAUUUUUUGAAAACUUUUCUGGACAUUGGUCCUUCCAUAAGUAAAUCCGCCUGCAAAUGGAGACCAGUUGUAUUCAAACUGUGUUCGGAAUCAAGCACCGGAACACACAAAUAUUUACAGCAAGUGCUCUGCUAAAUUUGUAGAUACUUACACAACAUUUUACUCCAUUUAUUACACUGUGCGACAAACGGCAACUUUUUGAAUGUACUUUGCCCGAGACAAAAACUAACCCAAAAAUUGUUGUUGUACGUUUCAAAGUUUUAUAACUUGUACUCAAAUAAGUAUUAUAGAAAAAUAAAUAAAGCAACUAAAUGAAGGGCCAGUUGAAUGGUAACAUAUUAUAUUGGUCAAGCAAGAGACACAUCAGUUCCGUUUCCUUUUAAAAAAACUCGAGAGAACUCUGAGAGCUCAUUACCCGAAAAUCAGAACCAAUUAGGAGCUUUGCAAGAGGAGCUUCAUAUUUUUAAAUAAAAUAAUUAUAAAUUUACCAAAAACUCGUGUGUGGAGCGGUGUUUAUUGUUUAUUCCAGCAGAAGCUAGUUCUUAGCCAUUAUAAUUAUAAACAAUGAAAAAUCACUUUCAACUAUUCCAUGCAGAUUCCACGUAGUUGGCCCUUAGAUUCCCUGAUUUCUUGGCAGCAAUCCCUAAGCAACGACUUGUGCAUUAUUGGAUCAUCUUAAGGCAAGCCCCAAGUAUUGGCAUUGCCUGCCACACACGCCUCACUCCCCCAGGCCAACACCUCACACCCACAGGAAGAGAGUGAGAGAGAGAGAGAAAAAAAAACGGAAGGGAGAACCCUUUAAAAAACAAUACACGAGCUGUAACGGGGCCAUUAAUUUCCCAAUUUACAGUCUAUUCGCAAGCCGUUGCCAAAAUUGUUUAAGGUUUUAAAACCCACACACAGAGAGGCGAGAGAUACUGAUAGAUGUGGGUGCAGGAAUGGGGUGGGAGAGCUGAGAAUGAGAAUGAGCUGGUCCUGAGGAUAAGACAGUGGGCGAAGUCCCACACCCAAUUUGGAGGGUGCGAGUGUGAGUGUGGGCCAGUGGCCAUAUGUCCAUUUUGGAGAAUAAGAAUUUCAAACGAGGUGUAUCUGUAAGUGUGUGUGUGUGUGUGUGUGUGUGUGUGUUUGUGUGUGUGUGUGUGUGUGUGCGUGGGUUGUCUUCAAGGGCCGCCUGUGAAUGGGGUGGUAAAUGCUGCCCAAGGGACUUGUAGCUGGGAUACCAACAAAGUUUUUCCAAAAAAUAAACGAAACGAAACGAAACGAAACGAAAAGAAAAAAGAUGGUCCAAGGAGCAGAGAACACCACCGCAGAGCAGCGCAUACAAAAAACAUAAAACAAAAACAACAGGCGAGUCCUGUGGCCGUUUCGGCCAGGACAACCCAUUCAAAAGCGCUGCAGACCAAAAAAGGACGCCAAAGGAUGCGGCAGAAGGUGCAGAGUGACUGAAGGGCGAACCGGGCACUGGGCUGAAACGCAAAAAGAAACGCCACCACAUGGUUUUAUUAUAUUGUGAAUGUGAUUACCUUAAGGAUAUGCAAUAAGCACACACACACAGAGAGAGAGGGAGAAAGCUGAAGAUGUAGCUGGGAAUGAUGUGUGGAGAUAACUCCCGAGCUGUCGGAUGGAGGAGGAGGAGGAGCAACCCAUUUCGAGGCUGGACAGACGACGACCCAUCGCCCAACGCCCAUGCCGCUCUUUUAUUUCCAUUGCAUGCCCAGCAGUCAGUCGUAAAAGGCAGCCCCAGAACCAGUCCCAGUCCCAGUCUCAGUCUCAGUCCCUGCCCCUGCCCCGAUGAAGGGGACUGAAGGAUGAAAAGCCACAGCCACAAAGAUGCACGAGAUACGAGUGCAGAAAAAGCAUCUCACAGAUACAGAUACCGCCGCUGAGCGGUGCGCUGCAUGAGCAUUUUCAAUUAGUGAGCACAUCGCAGAGGCCGUCCGAGAGAAGUCUCAAGAAUUCACAAGAAGAUUAUCAUGCACAGUGGAUUAGGCAGCACAUCAAGGAUUGUACUUGUGCACUCUGGUUUCGAUUUAAGCAACGUAAAAUACGAAUAAUAGACAAGGAACAGGCAAACAUUAGACAGCUAAGAGAACAGCUUUUAUUUCAAAUUAAAUUCAUUAAAGUUGUGAGUCAAUAAAUUCAUAUAAAGCAUAAAGUCUGGACUAAUGUUUGAAUGGAAUUGAGAUGCAUAAACUUAAUUUCAAGACUGAUUCCUUGCAGACAAACUUAACGAAUGUUUAUGCAGAAAUUCAUGGGAGAACUAUCCACAAAUUGAGUAACUGAAACAACGCCUCAAAUAUACUCAAAUAUUAUAGAAAAUGCGCAUAUAAGAGAUUAUCCAUUGAUCUCUGAUCAAUCUCUGCAGUACUCAGUAGUGCUACUCAAAGUUCACUCUAACAUUCAUUUCCCCCCUUCAAAACUAUACGAAAAGCCCUCGCACGCUGCGAGUCAUGUGCCUGCAAUGAGUUGCAGUUGAAGGAAAAUAUAGAAAGCAACAAAAAAGAAAGCAGGGAAAAGGAAAAAAAAAAAGAGACAGAAGAAACGAAGAUAUAAGAGAAAUAUGCAGAUGUCAUGUGGACCAUGUGCAGCACGUAGCAUCGGGUGAGGUGGACCACCUUGGUGGGUGCCGUAUCCUUUCUGCACGUUCAUGCUGAGUGUCUGUCUCUCCUGCCUGUCUGUGUGUGCCUGUGCGAAUCGAAUCCUGUGCUGUCCAAUGCGACUAAAAGGGUAAAAACCAAAAAUCGAGGAUAAGAACGGAUAAUCUUAUGUCGCAACUGAAGUUCCACUCACCUCCCAUUCACUCACUCACUCACGGGUCCAAUGAGCCGUCGAGUCAUCCCAAAAACACACACACUCACGCGAAUCGGUCGGUGGUCGAGCGGGGUGGUGAGAGGAGGGGAGGGGAGAUAUAGAGAAAGAGUUGAAGGCCUAUAAAUAACUGCAAAUAAAUCAAAAUCUAUCAAUGCGAACAAUUCGAUGUUACAAUUGACUUCACCGAUCAAAGCCGUUCCUCCUCCUCUGCUGCUGCUGCUGCUGCUGCUGCUGUUGCAUUUCAUUCUCCUCCUCCUGCUCCUGCUCCUUUUUGUAGCAGCUUUCCAGCUUUUUUCCCUGUCAUACCUUUUUGUGUGGAGUGCGCGACCAGAAAGUAUCCUUUGUGUCAAUAUUAUUAGCAGCAGCAGAAGCAAGCAAUCGAAUGGAUAAUGGCCGAAAGGGUGACACACGGACAUGGGAUAUCAUCCACACAUCCACAUGGCAUGGCAUGGGCACAGCCACCACUCUUCGUGCCUUUUGGGUGAGUGUGCGAAAUUUUACAGUAAUUUAAAAAGAAAAAAAAACUGUUUCACCAAUUUAAUCAAUAUUACACAACCCAUUCACACACACACACAGCCAGACAGACAGGCAGAGAGAGAGAGAGAGAGAUGGAUAGACACCGGGCGUAUCUGAUAUCGAUGCGCUCCUAAUGGACAGGAGUCGCCUCUGAAGCGGCGCGCUCUAAUUUUAUUUAUGAUCUAAUGUGUUGCCAAUGAUGGAAACGCACAACCUGAACAGAUAGUGUCAGAGAGGGGAUGGUGAGGACAGAUAUGGAUAGUUAUAGGUGGCCGCAGGGAUGCAGCGUGCAGUGUGAAAGGGCAUGUAUCUGCGGAUUGAUAUCCCGUUGUCCGCCUCACACACAACACACAAUGCAACAACGAAAAAACAGUCACUGAAAUUAUUGCUAGUGCUCUCAUCAUAUUUAUGCGCUCUAUUUGCCAUUUGGCCUGUGUGUGUCUAGUCUGUGUCCUGUGUGCGUGUCCUUUGUACCUUCUGCUGCCAGUGGGCGAUGGGCAAUUUUCUAAAACAAUUUCUGUCAUUUUGUUGAUACAAUUCACCGCAAUACAAACGAAACAGAAUCAACAGGGGGCCAGAGCACUGCAAAUUGGACUGGGUUAAAGGCAGAGAACUGCAUUGAGGGAGAGACCCUCGAGCGAAAAUCCUCAUUGCAAUCCGUUGGAGAUCGCAGAUUAACAGACAAAAACUUGACCGCCAUCAUUUGACCGCUUGUUUUGCCAGUAAAAAUCCUGUGAAUCGGACUCAUAAUCGUACUCAUAUCUCUGAAUCUGAAAUUAAUAAAUUCAAUUUCGAUUCCGAUUGAUGUACAUCCCACUCACUCUCACUCACUGAAUACAAUCAAUUGAAAGUGAAUAACAUUCACAGAUGAAUCAACUCAUGUGGCACCCGUUUGGCUGGCCAGACAUUCCGCAAAAAUCAUUUGAGCUCCCUGCCUGCCAGCACCUUCUACUCGUACAGCCGGGCAUAUCCUUAAUCAGGAAAGCCACAUGACAGGGAUAGGGCUGGCCCGGAGCCCGGAGCCCGGAGCCCGGAGCCACGAACCCUAAACUGAAAAGAAGGGCAACCCGAAAGGGGCCCCCAAGGGCCGUUUUGCACUAAUUAAUAACAGUAAAUUCUCUCCACCACCAAGAGACAAGAGACAUAGAAGACAGCAAGAACGGCGGAAAGAGCUGUCUCAAAGCAAUCCUUUGCCCCUGUCCCUGCCAUGCCGCUUCGUGUCCUUUCAAUUUGAGGAAAGUUUCGAGUGGAAAUCUGUUGGGUUACCGUACUGCAGAAGAGCAGGAGGGACAUGGGAGGUGGAGUUGGGCGGUUGGGCGGUUGACAGUAAAAAAUGUUGCAUAGUUUUUCUGCGUCUUAACGAGUGUCAACCACCCAAGUCAAGACUCAGGACUCACGUGGCCAGCUGCCACACACACACACGUACACCUAGAAUGUCCUGCUGCGAGGAUGUCUGCGCAUGUGUGUGUGUGCGAGUGUGAGUGUCCACUGGUCGUAUCCCUUUUAGCUAAAUUGGCAAAAUUUCUAUUCUAUUCCAGUCCAUUCAACGAUGACCCAACCACCCCCAAUCCACCCACCCAUGACACACACACACACACACAGACAGUCAGACACACUUAUUCACAACUAUUCUUGUUGGGAUAUUCAAAUGCGAAACGUUGCUAAUUCAUAUUCAAAUGAAUGCAAAAUAAACCCCAAUCACAAUUAUUAUGAGACAUGUUAAAUGGACCAAAAGUCCUGACAGCCAACAACAAUUCACACACACAGUUGGAGGCGCAUUCCAGACACACACUCACAGACAGGCCAGGCAGAGACUCACAUGAGACUCACAAUGCAGGAUGCGCAUGUCCUGUAGUCAGCAUUUUGUCGGACCAACGAGUGGACAUGUGUGAAGGCGGGUUGGCGGUGGCGCCACAAGAUAUCUCCGUGGAGGCAGUCCCUGUGCCACGUCGCCAGGUCAACAAAAGAGAGAAACUCGGGAAUUGUUCGUAUUUCAACUGUGCAUAAGGAUGGGUGCGGGUAGGGGGAUAUUCUGCCCAUUUGCAUUCUGAACUCCACGGGUGGGAGCUCUGCCAGCCAGAGAGUAUCGUUUCGUUUUGGCAUCUGAGAUUCCAAUGCAGUCAUAGAUGUAUGCAGAUACCCUGAAUAAUUCAUGGCUCCAUUUGCACAUCCUUUGUGCUGGCCAAUCAAGGUAAUGAGUGCAGUUUUAAAUACCUCAAAAUACUCACAUGAAAUGGGUUAAUGGAGCGGCAAUUUAGUA